rnacentral:rRNA from 1 species
CGCCGAAAAUGUCCGGGGCUGAAACACGACACCGAAGCUGUGGACUUGCCUAUGGCAAGUGGUAGAGGAGCAUUCUUAACUGCGGCGAAGCAGUACCGAUAAGGAGCUGUGGAGUGUUAAGAAGAGAGAAUGCCGGAAUGAGUAGCGAGACGGAGGUGGGAAUCCUCCAGGCCGAAUAUCUAAGGUUUCCAGAGUAAAGCUGAUCUGCUCUGGGUAAGUCGGGACCUAAGGCAAGGUCGAAAGACGUAGUCGAUGGACAACAGGUUGAAAUUCCUGUACCACAUAUCAUCAGAACUGUGGGGACACAGGGCGAUAACCAGACCCGGGAAUGAAAAGACCGGGGCAAGCGAAGAAGGAGUUAAGCUGGCAAAUCCGCUUAACAAUCCGAAGACGUGACGCGGACCGAACAAAAGUAGGGAAGCUGGAGAUUCGAACUGUCAAGAAAAGCCGCUAUUGUGUGAUAUGUGCCCGUACCGUAAACCGACACAGGUGGAUGAGGAGAGAAUCCUAAGGCCGGCGGGAGAAGCAUUGUUAAGGAACUCGGCAAAAUGACCCUGUAACUUCGGGAUAAAGGGUGCCUGCGCAAGCAGGCCGCAGAGAAUAGGCUCAAGCAACUGUUUAGCAAAAACACAGGUCUAUGCAAAACCGAAAGGUGAGGUAUAUGGGCUGACGCCUGCCCGGUGCUGGAAGGUUAAGAGGAGAGGUUAGAGCAAUCGAAGCUUUGAAUUUAAGCCCCAGUAAACGGCGGCCGUAACAAUAACGGUCCUAAGGUAGCGAAAUUCCUUGUCGGGUAAGUUCCGACCCGCACGAAAGGCGUAAUGAUUUGAGCGCUGUCUCGACAAUGCACCCGGUGAAAUUGAAAUACCAGUGAAGAUGCUGGUUACCUGCGCCAGGACGGAAAGACCCCAUGGAGCUUUACUCCAGCUUGAUACUGGGAUUCGGUUAUACAUGUACAGGAUAGGUGGGAGGCUAAGAAGUGAGGACGCCAGUCUUCACGGAGCCGCUGUUGGGAUACCACCCUUGUGUGACUGGGUUUCUAACCUGCAGCCGUGACCCGGCUGGGGGACAAUGUCAGGUGGGGAGUUUGACUGGGGCGGUCGCCUCCGAAAGGGUAUCGGAGGCGCUCAAAGGUUCCCUCAGAAUGGUUGGAAACCAUUUGCAGAGUGCAAAGGCAUAAGGGAGCUUGACAGCGAGACCGACGGGUCGAGCAGGUAGGAAACUAGGACUUAGUGAUCCGGUGGUAUAAAGUGGGAUUGCCAUCGCUCAACGGAUAAAAGCUACCCUGGGAUAACAGGCUUAUCACUCCCAAGAGUUCACAUCGACGGAGUGGUUUGGCACCUCGAUGUCGGCUCAUCGCAUCCUGGGGCUGAAGUAGGUCCCAAGGGUUGGGCUGUUCGCCCAUUAAAGCGGUACGCGAGCUGGGUUCAGAACGUCGUGAGACAGUUCGGUCCCUAUCCGGCGUGGGCGUAGGAUAUUUGAGAGGAGCUGUCCUUAGUACGAGAGGACCGGGAUGGACCGACCUCUGGUGCAUCGGUUGAGAAUCAAUCUCAUGGCCGAGUAGCCAAGUCGGGACGGGAUAAACGCUGAAGGCAUCUAAGCGUGAAGCCCCCCUCAAGAUGAGAUAUCCCAUACGCAAGUAGUAAGACCCCUUGAAGACGACGAGGUAGAUAGGGCAGAGGUGGAAGUGUGGUAACACAUGCAGCUGACUGUCACUAAUAGGUCGAGGGCUUAACCA